rnacentral:rRNA from 1 species
UGGGGGAUAUUGCACAAUGGGCGAAAGCCUGAUGCAGCGACGCCGCGUGGGGGAUGAAGGCCUUCGGGUUGUAAACUUCUUUUGCUCUGAACAAGGCAUGCCUGUGGGGUGUGUUGAGUGUAGGGGUUGAUUAGCGCCGGCUAACUACGUGCCAGCAGCCGCGGUAAUACGUAGGGCGCGAGCGUUGUCCGGAAUUAUUGGGCGUAAAGGGCUUGUAGGUGGCUGGUUGCGUCUGUCGUGAAAGCUCAUGGCUUAACUGUGGGUUUGCGGUGGGUACGGGCUGGCUUGAGUGCAGUAGGGGACGCUGGAAUUCCUGGUGUAGCGGUGGAAUGCGCAGAUAUCAGGAGGAAUACCGGUGGCGAAGGCGGGUCUCUGGGCUGUUACUGACGCUGAGGAGCGAAAGCGUGGGGAGCGAACAGG